UUUUGUACUCAAGCAGAUCAAUUUUAAUUCAGGGCUGUUUAUUGUAUUUAUCAGAUCCUCUCUAAGUGAAUAAGCCUGGAUAAUCUGAUUUCUUCUGCAGAAAUAUUUGCCAUCUUGACGCACGUACCUGGUUGAAAUUGAACUUCACAAGUACACACAGUGUGAAGCAUUCACAUCAUUGUUAAGCUGCUGAAAGAGGGGAAGAACAUGGCAUCAAACACCAGUACGCCAGUCGAGAAGAAAACUCACCCCUGCUCUGAGUGUGGGAAAAGUUUUUCCCAUCAGAGGAAUCUGCAACUGCACCAGCUCAUCCACACAGGAGAGAAACCCUAUCACUGCGCAGACUGCGGGCGGUGUUUUAAUCAUCAGAGCACACUCCGGCAGCACCAGCGCACUCACACUGGAGAGAAACCGUAUCAGUGUUCAGACUGCGGAAAGAGUUUCAGCCAACAAAUUACCCUCCGGCGACACCAGCGCAUUCACACCGGAGAGAAACCGUAUCACUGCUUUGAGUGCGGGAAGAGUUUUAAUCACCAGAAUACACUUCAGCGACACCAGCGCAUUCACACGGGAGAAAAACCCUUUUACUGCUCAGACUGUGGAAAGAGUUUUAAGCAGCAGAUUGCACUCAAGAGACACCAGCGCAUUCACACUGGAGAGAAACCGUAUCGCUGCUCAGAGUGUGGGAGGAGUUUUAGUCAGCAGGGUCAUCUCGAUACACACCUGCUCACUCACACUGGAGAGAAACCGUUUGGCUGUUCAGACUGUGGAAAGACUUUUACUACUCAGAGUAAUCUCAGAACACACUUUCGCAUUCACACUGGAGAGAAACCGUAUCACUGCUCAGACUGCGGGAGGAGUUUUAUUCAGGAGAUUUCACUCCAUCAGCACCAGCGCGUUCACACAGGAGUGAAGCCGUACCACUGCUCAGAGUGUGGGAGGAGUUAUAGUCAUCAGCGUAAUUUCAUACAACACCAGAGCAUUCACACACAAGAUAAACCAUAUCACUGCUCAGAGUGAAUUAGUAGUGAAUUACUUGGGAGAAAAGCUGUAUUGCUGCUCAGGUUCGAUCCAAUAUCAUUCUCGGGUCGGAUGUCGACCAUUAACUUAACAUAACAGGCGCCAAGUGGUCCAGCAUUUUAAAGGGCUGCCACUAUGAUCGGAAGAUCACUCAGUUCAAAUCCCGGUCAUGCAGUUUGCCAUCAGUUGCCAGAGCCCUGAGAGAGAGAGCAAUUGGCCUUGCUCUCUCUGGGUGGGAAGGUUGGGAGAUCUCUCCCCACAUCAUUACAAGGGGUGAUGUUGAUCAGCACGAGGCGUCUGUGAGCUGAUGUAUCAGAACCAAGUCGCUGCGCUUUCCUCCGAGCGCUGGUGCUGUGAUGCUACUCGGCAAUGCUGCAUAAGCAGCAAUUUAAAAAGAUGCGGUGGCUGACUUCACAUGUAUUAAGGGGGCAUGUGCUAGUCUUCACUCUUCUUGUGUUGGGGUACUACUAGUGAUGAUGGAUACACAGCUGAUACAGAGCAGCUGAAUGGGUGGGACACUACAUAACAACAUAAUAGACACAUUACCAAUCCGCAUUCCAGUUUGUGUGUAGGUCAUCACCGUCUGUCUCCACUGUAAUUGGUGGACUCUGUUCUAUGUUUUAUGUAAAUCUGUCCAAUGGAACUGUGAACUGUAGCGGAAAAACAGUGGAGCCUGAGGAUUGUGAUUCAUAUGAUAAAGAAAAUAACAAUCUAAAGGGAUUCAUUUGAAGAUAUCUCAGUAAUGGUGUACUGGACAAUGUGAUGCGAGCCACUGUAUCUCUAAACCAUUGUUUCUUUUCAGAUAGAGCACAAUUCUACAGAAUUCUACAGGGUUUUUUUUGACAUUCAUUUCACAUUACAUACUAUUUUAUUCACAUAUUCUACUACUGCUGUGAAACUAAACCCAUUUACCAACCACCAAAUUAAUUCAUCAACAUUAGUAAAGAUACGGUUUAAAAAUGCAUUGAUCUAGGUCACAUGAGACCCUGAUUACUGAUAGAGUUGAGAUUGUUCUGAAUAACAUAUGGGUAUUACGUUAUAUGCAAAUGCCUUAAAAUGCAAGUUUAAGAAGGUGCACUUUGACCCCACAGAGUUAAUGUAAUUUUGUUUUAAUAUAUAAUUUAUUUCCUGGAAGCUUAUGUUAGUUUGAAAAGAUUUUAGUGUAGCACAGUUGAUCAGGCUAAGCUAUGCACUUUGUUGUACAUUGUUUCAUAUCAUUUGUCAAACUCUGUCCAACUGACUCCAAUAAAUCCAUAAUAUCUGCUA